rnacentral:rRNA from 2 species
CCUAAUACAUGCAAGUCGAACGAACUCUGGUAUUGAUUGGUGCUUGCAUCAUGAUUUACAUUUGAGUGAGUGGCGAACUGGUGAGUAACACGUGGGAAACCUGCCCAGAAGCGGGGGAUAACACCUGGAAACAGAUGCUAAUACCGCAUAACAACUUGGACCGCAUGGUCCGAGUUUGAAAGAUGGCUUCGGCUAUCACUUUUGGAUGGUCCCGCGGCGUAUUAGCUAGAUGGUGAGGUAACGGCUCACCAUGGCAAUGAUACGUAGCCGACCUGAGAGGGUAAUCGGCCACAUUGGGACUGAGACACGGCCCAAACUCCUACGGGAGGCAGCAGUAGGGAAUCUUCCACAAUGGACGAAAGUCUGAUGGAGCAACGCCGCGUGAGUGAAGAAGGGUUUCGGCUCGUAAAACUCUGUUGUUAAAGAAGAACAUAUCUGAGAGUAACUGUUCAGGUAUUGACGGUAUUUAACCAGAAAGCCACGGCUAACUACGUGCCAGCAGCCGCGGUAAUACGUAGGUGGCAAGCGUUGUCCGGAUUUAUUGGGCGUAAAGCGAGCGCAGGCGGUUUUUUAAGUCUGAUGUGAAAGCCUUCGGCUCAACCGAAGAAGUGCAUCGGAAACUGGGAAACUUGAGUGCAGAAGAGGACAGUGGAACUCCAUGUGUAGCGGUGAAAUGCGUAGAUAUAUGGAAGAACACCAGUGGCGAAGGCGGCUGUCUGGUCUGUAACUGACGCUGAGGCUCGAAAGUAUGGGUAGCAAACAGGAUUAGAUACCCUGGUAGUCCAUACCGUAAACGAUGAAUGCUAAGUGUUGGAGGGUUUCCGCCCUUCAGUGCUGCAGCUAACGCAUUAAGCAUUCCGCCUGGGGAGUACGGCCGCAAGGCUGAAACUCAAAGGAAUUGACGGGGGCCCGCACAAGCGGUGGAGCAUGUGGUUUAAUUCGAAGCUACGCGAAGAACCUUACCAGGUCUUGACAUACUAUGCAAAUCUAAGAGAUUAGACGUUCCCUUCGGGGACAUGGAUACAGGUGGUGCAUGGUUGUCGUCAGCUCGUGUCCUGAGAUGUUGGGUUAAGUCCCGCAACGAGCGCAACCCUUAUUAUCAGUUGCCAGCAUUAAGUUGGGCACUCUGGUGAGACUGCCGGUGACAAACCGGAGGAAGGUGGGGAUGACGUCAAAUCAUCAUGCCCCUUAUGACCUGGGCUACACACGUGCUACAAUGGAUGGUACAACGAGUUGCGAACUCGCGAGAGUAAGCUAAUCUCUUAAAGCCAUUCUCAGUUCGGAUUGUAGGCUGCAACUCGCCUACAUGAAGUCGGAAUCGCUAGUAAUCGCGGAUCAGCAUGCCGCGGUGAAUACGUUCCCGGGCCUUGUACACACCGCCCGUCACACCAUGAGAGUUUGUAACACCCAAAGUCGGUGGGGUAACCUUUUAGGAACCAGCCGCCUA